rnacentral:rRNA from 1 species
UAGGGAAUCUUCCGCAAUGGACGCAAGUCUGACGGAGCAACGCCGCGUGAGUGAAGAAGGAUUUCGGUUCGUAAAACUCUGUUGUUAGAGAAGAACAGCGCAUAGAGUAACUGUUAUGCGUGUGACGGUAUCUAACCAGAAAGCCACGGCUAACUACGUGCCAGCAGCCGCGGUAAUACGUAGGUGGCAAGCGUUGUCCGGAUUUAUUGGGCGUAAAGCGAGCGCAGGCGGUCAAUUAAGUCUGAUGUGAAAGCCCCCGGCUCAACCGGGGAGGGUCAGUGGAAACUGGUUGACUUGAGUGCAGAAGAGGAGAGUGGAAUUCCAUGUGUAGCGGUAAAAUGAGUAGAUAUAUGGAGGAACACCAGUGGCGAAGGCGACUAUCUGGUCAGUAACUGACGCUGAGGUUCGAAAGCGUGGGUAGCAAACAGG